GCCGAAGUGGCGGAAUUGGUAGACGCAGCGGAUUCAAAAUCCGCCGCCCUUAAAAGCGUAUGGGUUCGAGUCCCAUCUUCGGCACCA
rnacentral:tRNA from 2 species